GAUGAACGCUGGCGGCGUGCCUAAUACAUGCAAGUCGAGCGAACGGACGAGAAGCUUGCUUCUCUGAUGUUAGCGGCGGACGGGUGAGUAACACGUGGAUAACCUACCUAUAAGACUGGGAUAACUUCGGGAAACCGGAGCUAAUACCGGAUAAUAUUUUGAACCGCAUGGUUCAAAAGUGAAAGACGGUCUUGCUGUCACGUAUAGAUGGAUCCGCGCUGCAUUAGCUAGUUGGUAAGGUAACGGCUUACCAAGGCAACGAUGCAUAGCCGACCUGAGAGGGUGAUCGGCCACACUGGAACUGAGACACGGUCCAGACUCCUACGGGAGGCAGCAGUAGGGAAUCUUCCGCAAUGGGCGAAAGCCUGACGGAGCAACGCCGCGUGAGUGAUGAAGGUCUUCGGAUCGUAAAACUCUGUUAUUAGGGAAGAACAUGUGUGUAAGUAACUGUGCACAUCUUGACGGUACCUAAUCAGAAAGCCACGGCUAACUACGUG
rnacentral:rRNA from 1 species